GGGGAUGUAGAUUAGAUGGUAAAGCGCUCGCUUAACAUGCGAGAGGUACAGGGAUCGAUACUCUGUAUCUUCA
rnacentral:tRNA from 1 species